rnacentral:rRNA from 1 species
GAUGAACGCUAGCUACAGGCUUAACACAUGCAAGUCGCGGGGCAGCAUGGGGGUUGCUUGCAAUCCCCGAUGGCGACCGGCGCACGGGUGAGUAACGCGUAUCCAACCUGCCCUUCACCACGGGAUAACCCGGCGAAAGUCGGACAAAUACCGUAUGUCGUCCAUUGACGGCAUCCGGUUUGGACGAAAGGUUUGGCGGUGAGGGAUGGGGGUGCGUGCGUUUAGCUGGACGGCGGGGUGACGGCCCACCGUGGCGACGAUCGGUAGGGGUUCCGAGAGGGAGGGCCCCCACAGGGGAAGAGAGACACGGCCCAGACGCCUGCGGGAGGCAGCAGGGGGGAAUUGUAGUAAGGGGGCGAGAGCCUGGCCGAGCCAAGUCGCGUGCGGUAGGGGGGCCCUGUGGGUGGUAAACUGUUUUUAGGGGGGGAUAAAGGGCCCGUCUGGGGGGCUGUUGAAGGUACCGGGUGAAUAAGGACCGGCUAAUUCCGUG